rnacentral:rRNA from 1 species
CACGUAUUUAGCCGGAGCUUCUUUUUCAGGUACCGUCACUUUCUUCCCUGCUGAUAGAGAUUUACAUAACGAAUUACUUCUUCACUCACGCGGCGUCGCUGCAUCAGAGUUCCCUCCAUUGUGCAAUAUUCCCCACUGCUGCCUCCCGUAGGAGUCUGGGCCGUGUCUCAGUCCCAAUGUGGCCGUCCACCCUCUCAGGCCGGCUACUGAUCGUUGCCUUGGUGUGCUUUUACCACUCCAACUAGCUAAUCAGACGCGGGUCCAUCUCAUACCAGAUUUCUCCUUUUCACACAAAAACAUGCGUCCUCGUGCGCUUAUGCGGUUUUACCACCAGUUUCCCGAUGCUAUCCCCCUGUACUGAGGCAGGUUGCCCACGCGUUACUCACCCGUCCGCCACUAAGAUACUUCUCUUUCACCUCGAAAAGCUUCCAAGCAAUAUCUCCGUUCGACUUGCAUGUGUUAGGCACGCCGCCAGCGUUCAUCCUGAGCCAGGUA